rnacentral:rRNA from 1 species
ACCCGCUGAACUUAAGCAUAUCAAUAAGCGGAGGAAAAGAAACCAACAGGGAUUGCCCUAGUAACGGCGAGUGAAGCGGCAACAGCUCAAAUUUGAAAUCUGGCCUCGGCCCGAGUUGUAAUUUGCAGAGGAUGAUUUUGGCGCGGUGCCUUCCGAGUUCCCUGGAACGGGACGCCACAGAGGGUGAGAGCCCCGUAUGGUCGGACACCAAGCCUUUGUAAAUCUCCUUCGACGAGUCGAGUAGUUUGGGAAUGCUGCUCAAAAUGGGAGGUAAAUCUCUUCUAAAGCUAAAUAUUGGCCAGAGACCGAUAGCGCACAAGUAGAGUGAUCGAAAGAUGAAAAGCACCUUGAAAAGGGGGUUAAACAGUACGUGAAAUUGUUGAAAGGGAAGGGCUCGUGACCAGACUUGUGCCAGGCGGCUCAUCCGGCGUUCUCGCCGGUGCACUCCGCCUGGCUCAGGCCAGCAUCGGUUCUUGCCGGGGGAUAAGAGCUUCGGGAACGUGGCCCCCUUCGGGGGGUGUUAUAGCCCGUUGCACGAUGCCCUGGCGGGGACCGAGGUUCGCGCUCCGCAAGGAUGCUGGCGUAAUGGUCACCAACCACCCGUCUUGAAACACGGACCAAGGAGUCGUCCAUCAGAGCGGGCGUUUGGGUGUAAAACCCGCACGCGUAAUGAAAGUGAACGCAGGUGAGAGCUUCGGCGCAUCAUCGACCGAUCCUGAUGUAUUCGGAUGGAUUUGAGUAAGAGUUUUGCUGGACGGACCCGAAAGACAGUGAACUAUGCUUGUAUAGGGUGAAGCCAGAGGAAACUCUGGUGGAGGCUCGCAGCGGUUCUGACGUGCAAAUCGAUCGUCAAAUAUGAGCAUGGGGGCGAAAGACUAAUCGAACUGUCUAGUAGCUGGUUACCGCCGAAGUUUCCCUCAGGA